UGCCGCGUGUGUGAAGAAGGCCUUCGGGUUGUAAAGCACUUUCAGUUGUGAGGAAAAGUUAGUAGUUAAUACCUGCUAGCCGUGACGUUAACAACAGAAGAAGCACCGGCUAACUCCGUGCCAGCAGCCGCGGUAAUACGGAGGGUGCGAGCGUUAAUCGGAAUUACUGGGCGUAAAGCGCACGCAGGCGGUUUGUUAAGCUAGAUGUGAAAGCCCCGGGCUCAACCUGGGAUGGUCAUUUAGAACUGGCAGACUAGAGUCUUGGAGAGGGGAGUGGAAUUCCAGGUGUAGCGGUGAAAUGCGUAGAUAUCUGGAGGAACAUCAGUGGCGAAGGCGACUCCCUGGCCAAAGACUGACGCUCAUGUGCGAAAGUGUGGGUAGCGAACAGGAUUAGAUACCCUGGUAGUCCACACCGUAAACGCUGUCUACUAGCUGUGUGUGCCUUUAAGGCGUGCGUAGCGAAGCUAACGCGCUAAGUAGACCGCCUGGGGAGUACGGCCGCAAGGUUAAAACUCAAAUGAAUUGACGGGGGCCCGCACAAGCGGUGGAGCAUGUGGUUUAAUUCGAUGCAACGCGAAGAACCUUACCUACACUUGACAUGCUGAGAAGUUACUAGAGAUAGUUUCGUGCCUUCGGGAACUCAGACACAGGUGCUGCAUGGCUGUCGUCAGCUCGUGUCGUGAGAUGUUGGGUUAAGUCCCGCAACGAGCGCAACCCUUGUCCUUAGUUGCCAGCCUUAAGUUGGGCACUCUAAGGAGACUGCCGGUGACAAACCGGAGG
rnacentral:rRNA from 1 species